UUUGGCAUCGGCCUUGCGUGCUCGUAUGCCGUUGGCCACGGCGUGCAACAGGUGCGUCUUACCCAAGCCGGUGCCGCCAUA
rnacentral:antisense_RNA from 1 species